CAGGUUUACCUGUGUGACUGCGUACCUUUUGUAUAAUGGGUCAGCGACUUAUAUUCUGUAGCAAGGUUAACCGUAUAGGGGAGCCGUAGGGAAACCGAGUCUUAACCGGGCGUUAAGUUGCAGGGUAUAGACCCGAAACCCGGUGAUCUAGCCAUGGGCAGGUUGAAGGUUGGGUAACACUAACUGGAGGACCGAACCGACUAAUGUUGAAAAAUUAGCGGAUGACCUGUGGCUGGGGGUGAAAGGCCAAUCAAACCGGGAGAUAGCUGGUUCUCCCCGAAAGCUAUUUAGGUAGCGCCUCGUGAAUUCAUCUCCGGGGGUAGAGCACUGUUUCGGCUAGGGGGCCAUCCCGGCUUACCAACCCGAUGCAAACUGCGAAUACCGGAGAAUGUUAUCACGGGAGACACACGGCGGGUGCUAACGUCCGUCGUGAAGAGGGAAACAACCCAGACCGCCAGCUAAGGUCCCAAAGUCAUGGUUAAGUGGGAAACGAUGUGGGAAGGCCCAGACAGCCAGGAUGUUGGCUUAGAAGCAGCCAUCAUUUAAAGAAAGCGUAAUAGCUCACUGGUCGAGUCGGCCUGCGCGGAAGAUGUAACGGGGCUAAACCAUGCACCGAAGCUGCGGCAGCGAACGUAUCACCCAAGACAACUUUACGGAGUUGACGAUUGACGGAGCGAAGCGACGUCAAAGCGUUCAUUAAAGUCGAGUUGGCUUAGGGAUACGUUCGUUGGGUAGGGGAGCGUUCUGUAAGCCUGUGAAGGUGUGUCGUGAGGCAUGCUGGAGGUAUCAGAAGUGCGAAUGCUGACAUAAGUAACGAUAAAGCGGGUGAAAAGCCCGCUCGCCGGAAGACCAAGGGUUCCUGUCCAACGUUAAUCGGGGCAGGGUGAGUCGACCCCUAAGGCGAGGCCGAAAGGCGUAGUCGAUGGGAAACGGGUUAAUAUUCCCGUACUUGGUGUUACUGCGAAGGGGGGACGGAGAAGGCUAUGUUGGCCGGGCGACGGUUGUCCCGGUUUAAGCGUGUAGGUGUGUGUUCCAGGUAAAUCCGGUU
rnacentral:rRNA from 2 species